rnacentral:lncRNA from 1 species
CUGCUGCUGCCGCGCCGCCGGAGCAUGAUUUCUGUUCUCGUCCUGAAGCAAAGUUCUUAACGCGAGGUAAUAUUUCUGAGUUAGCGGAGUCUGUAACCUGAAGCGUAUGUAACCUGAAGCAUAUGUAACCCGAGGUACCACUGUACACUUUCUCCUUGUCAUGCAUAAUUUUAUAAACUUAUUUUCAUGUGGUCUCUUGUUCACCAAACUAUGUUACAACAGGGCAAGGGAAACGAGAUUUAUGUGAAGAGUUUUAGAUACUUAAGGUGUGGGAAUCCCCCAUCGAUACAUGAAUGAUGAUGAUAUACUGUUUCACCAUCUAAUUUAUUUUGGAUUAUGUCAUAUUGAGACAUUACAUAAAGGACACUGUGCCACAAAUAAGGACUCUGAAUGUUCACCCCCCCCCCCCAAAAAAGGGUCAGCGUGUCAAAGAUCUUAGUGCAGCGACCCAGCUCCUCGCCCAAGGUGGGUAUGUAGGGGGAAGGGUGGCUGAAGGGGGAGCACAAACACAGGAAAGGCAUCCUACUGAGAGAUGGUUUUGAACCGGAGCUUGCAUCAUUAGUCUACCUCAUUACCCUGUCUUUACUGCCAAAGGCAAAACAGGUGCAAGUUUGCCAAACGGGAAGAAAUUGCAGCCUUGUUAUGGGAAUCCAUACUUCAGGGAAAUCUUUUUUUAAAAAAUCCCUCCUAACAUAUUGAAAAACUGCCUAGUUAUGCAGACAGGAAAAGCAUAAGAAUUCAGAAUUCAAUAUGGUAUGUUGUUAACCACUGACACUGUCUGGGGGUCAACCCCUUUUCAGCAGCAUUCGCUCUCCCCUCCCCAGCACUGACACAUGGAAUGUGUGGCCUAGCCUUGAAAUCUGCCAGAAAAGCCUCUGGUCCACUGGGCCAGUCGUGUCCCAUGAUCCUCGUUAUGACUUCGCAAUAGAUUCUGACUGCGCUGUGGUGAUCAAAGAUGACUUGGCAGAGACUGUAUACAGUAUAGGUUCACAUGCCUGCGUUAUUCACUCAUGAAGUGGGGUGGGGGGCUGAAAGGAGUCAUUUUUACAUCAAGAGAGGGAUGUGAGUGAGGGGAAUUAAGCAAUCCACGCACAUUCCUAGGGAUAGGGGAGAAAUCUGAUUCGGUUCAUCAUUUAAGGACAACCUGCUUAUUUUGCACUUGCUGAAACAAGACGAAAAACCAAAACACAACCAUUCUUUGAAAUUUGCACUUCCCUGAAUUUUGCGAAGCAGUUUUUCAGCGAAGUCAUACGUGCAAAAAUGCAUUUAAUGGGGCAAAGGAUUUGUAAAGUGCAUAUGUUAUUGAAAACAAUAUACUUGGAGAAACAGUGUUGCAAAAAAAAAAAAAAAGGCAAAAUGGCAGACCAAAACUUGUUUUAUUUUAUUUAUUUGGAGCCAAAGCAGUUCUAAAAGCAGCUUACAUACAAUCAAAACAUGAUACUUAAUACCCACAGGUAUGCAAUCUAAAAUAAAACAUGACACACAAGAGAAAAGUGACAGGGAGGUAAGAGGAACAUCAUAAUCAAAUCCAAGCACUGAUUUCUAAACAGUUAUUCCUACAAUGCCCAUCUGGCACAGCUGAGUGCCAAGAGGUCCCGGGUACAGAUGGGCCUCCAGCAGUGGCAGACCUUGAGGUCUCAAAUUUCAGCGGUGCCCUGUGUGACACCAAAAUUCGGUACCCCUUCCAUCUCUUGCCUUCCAUUCUACAACAUAAUUGUGGCACCCCCUUGGCUCCACGCCCAGUGCAACCAAACUGGCCGCACUCCCUUAAAUCUACCUCCAACAAAGCUGACAGAGCGAGCCUCCUGCUAUCUAUCUCUCCCACUGAGGCAGCCUGAUGGAAAGGCUGCCCCCAGGUGGCAGUUUAGGGGAGAGGAGGUCUGAUGGAGCUGGCCUGUCAGAGAGGAGCUGAUGGAGUGAGCCCUGCUUCCCAGCUCUGCCCCUAGGAGAUAGUUUAUUUGAUACAUUUAUUUCAUAAAACUCAAUACACUACUUGACUGCAAAAAUUUCAAAGCAGUUUACAAAAAGACAAAGCAAUAGAAUCAAGGGGAAAUUACAACACAUUACAACACACAAUAAACACACACACACACAAUAAACACACACACACACACACACACACACACAUAAACACACACACAAUUAACAAACACACACAAGAAACACUCACAAGAAACACACACAAGAAACACACAAUAAAAAGUUACAAUACUAAAAUGAAUUCACACCAGCAUUUCUAAGCAUCUACGUAGGCUUGCCUAAACAAGGAUGUUUUUAGCAGGUGUUAAGAAUACAACAUCAGAGCCUGCUGGAUAUCAAGUUCCAAAGGUGCUGAGUUACUAAAUGAUUGAGUUAAGGGCUUUGUAUACUAAUAGUAACACCUUGAACCAGCAUGGCUGUGAGUCCUAGAAGACCUGCUCCCUGCUUUGCAAGCCUUUUCCCACGUUGUCUGGGAGGCUGCUGAACAGACUCUUGCGCUCAGGUAUUGUUUAGCAGGGGGUUGUUGGGGUUGUUAAUGCUGUUAUUUAUGUUUUUUGUAUUUUAUUUUAGAUGUUAUUAUUUAUGUGGAAAUUGUUUCAAUUUGGUUGUUUAUUUUUAUUUUUUCAUUGUUUAUGACUAGUUUUGUUAUACUUUUAAUUAUGCUUUUUUUUCAAGUAGUAAGCUGCCUUGAGCAUGGUUUUAAACUGUGGAAGGGCAGCAUACAAACCUGUAUGUGUGUAUCUUGGCACUGUAGCAGAUUGGCAACCAGUGCAGAUCUCUGAGCACUGAGUGUUAUAUGCUAACAAGGCAUAUAGAUGAGUUAGUUUGUCAUUUUUUACCUUUAUAGAUUUACCCUUGUUCUAAACUAAUAAUUGCUCACUGUCUACAUUUUACUACACAAGGUACUGCUGCAUGUAUGCGUUCUCUUCACAUUAUAUUUACCUUAUAUGGAAAUAGAUGUUGACUGGAAUCUUGUUUUAUUUAAUUUUGUUAGCUCAGUGAUUAAGCCCCCCUGGGGGAGGAAAUGUGAUGUAUACUGGAACUAUGUCCGAAUGUUUACCAACUGUUGAUUUAUGGGUGGAUUCUUCUUCUAUCAAGAUUCAAAUAUAUGUAUGUUCAUUAAGAAAAAGAUCACUCCUGUUAUUUUCAUGGUUGUUUAGAUUUCUAACUGUAUAAUGGUUACACUGCAUUUCGCUAUUUUAUCACCACCCUCCUUGUUGUGUUGACAGGGCCUCCUGUGAGCAAUUAUGUUGCAGCAUUCUGCACUAAGUGCAGCUUCCGGCUCAAGUGCGAGGGAAUCCAGGUGGAAAUUGCUGAAAUGUCCAGGAACUAAAAAGAAGCUCAGCAACUUUUGUGUCUGGAUUUUCACUUUUUGAAAUAUUGCAAUCAUACCUUAGGGAACAGGCUGGUUAUGGGGCCUCAAUAUGCAACAAGCACCACAAGAC